rnacentral:rRNA from 1 species
AUUAGAGUUUGAUCCUGGCUCAGAUUGAACGCUGGCGGCAGGCCUAACACAUGCAAGUCGAGCGGUAGCACAGAGAGCUUGCUCUCGGGUGACGAGCGGCGGACGGGUGAGUAAUGUCUGGGAAACUGCCUGAUGGAGGGGGAUAACUACUGGAAACGGUAGCUAAUACCGCAUAACGUCGCAAGACCAAAGUGGGGGACCUUCGGGCCUCAUGCCAUCAGAUGUGCCCAGAUGGGAUUAGCUAGUAGGUGGGGUAACGGCUCACCUAGGCGACGAUCCCUAGCUGGUCUGAGAGGAUGACCAGCCACACUGGAACUGAGACACGGUCCAGACUCCUACGGGAGGCAGCAGUGGGGAAUAUUGCACAAUGGGCGCAAGCCUGAUGCAGCCAUGCCGCGUGUGUGAAGAAGGCCUUCGGGUUGUAAAGCACUUUCAGCGGGGAGGAAGGCGGUGAGGUUAAUAACCUCACCGAUUGACGUUACCCGCAGAAGAAGCACCGGCUAACUCCGUGCCAGCAGCCGCGGUAAUACGGAGGGUGCAAGCGUUAAUCGGAAUUACUGGGCGUAAAGCGCACGCAGGCGGUCUGUCAAGUCGGAUGUGAAAUCCCCGGGCUCAACCUGGGAACUGCAUUCGAAACUGGCAGGCUAGAGUCUUGUAGAGGGGGGUAGAAUUCCAGGUGUAGCGGUGAAAUGCGUAGAGAUCUGGAGGAAUACCGGUGGCGAAGGCGGCCCCCUGGACAAAGACUGACGCUCAGGUGCGAAAGCGUGGGGAGCAAACAGGAUUAGAUACCCUGGUAGUCCACGCUGUAAACGAUGUCGAUUUGGAGGUUGUGCCCUUGAGGCGUGGCUUCCGGAGCUAACGCGUUAAAUCGACCGCCUGGGGAGUACGGCCGCAAGGUUAAAACUCAAAUGAAUUGACGGGGGCCCGCACAAGCGGUGGAGCAUGUGGUUUAAUUCGAUGCAACGCGAAGAACCUUACCUGGUCUUGACAUCCACAGAACUUUCCAGAGAUGGAUUGGUGCCUUCGGGAACUGUGAGACAGGUGCUGCAUGGCUGUCGUCAGCUCGUGUUGUGAAAUGUUGGGUUAAGUCCCGCAACGAGCGCAACCCUUAUCCUUUGUUGCCAGCGGUUAGGCCGGGAACUCAAAGGAGACUGCCAGUGAUAAACUGGAGGAAGGUGGGGAUGACGUCAAGUCAUCAUGGCCCUUACGACCAGGGCUACACACGUGCUACAAUGGCAUAUACAAAGAGAAGCGACCUCGCGAGAGCAAGCGGACCUCAUAAAGUAUGUCGUAGUCCGGAUUGGAGUCAGCAACUCGACUCCAUGAAGUCGGAAUCGCUAGUAAUCGUAGAUCAGAAUGCUACGGUGAAUACGUUCCCGGGCCUUGUACACACCGCCCGUCACACCAUGGGAGUGGGUUGCAAAAGAAGUAGGUAGCUUAACCUUCGGGAGGGCGCUUACCACUUUGUGAUUCAUGACUGGGGUGAAGUCGUAACAAGGUAAAU